rnacentral:rRNA from 1 species
ACCGCAUGAUGCCUACGGGCCAAAGAGGGGGACCUUCGGGCCUCUCGCGUCAGGAUAUGCCUAGGUGGGAUUAGCUAGUUGGUGAGGUAAGGGCUCACCAAGGCGACGAUCCCUAGCUGGUCUGAGAGGAUGAUCAGCCACACUGGAACUGAGACACGGUCCAGACUCCUACGGGAGGCAGCAGUGGGGAAUAUUGCACAAUGGGCGCAAGCCUGAUGCAGCCAUGCCGCGUGUGUGAAGAAGGCCUUCGGGUUGUAAAGCACUUUCAGUCGUGAGGAAGGUAGUGUAGUUAAUAGCUGCAUUAUUUGACGUUAGCGACAGAAGAAGCACCGGCUAACUCCGUGCCAGCAGCCGCGGUAAUACGGAGGGUGCGAGCGUUAAUCGGAAUUACUGGGCGUAAAGCGCAUGCAGGUGGUUUGUUAAGUCAGAUGUGAAAGCCCGGGGCUCAACCUCGGAAUUGCAUUUGAAACUGGCAGACUAGAGUACUGUAGAGGGGGGUAGAAUUUCAGGUGUAGCGGUGAAAUGCGUAGAGAUCUGAAGGAAUACCGGUGGCGAAGGCGGCCCCCUGGACAGAUACUGACACUCAGAUGCGAAAGCGUGGGGAGCAAACAGGAUUAGAUACCCUGGUAGUCCACGCCGUAAACGAUGUCUACUUGGAGGUUGUGGCCUUGAGCCGUGGCUUUCGGAGCUAACGCGUUAAGUAGACCGCCUGGGGAGUACGGUCGCAAGAUUAAAACUCAAAUGAAUUGACGGGGGCCCGCACAAGCGGUGGAGCAUGUGGUUUAAUUCGAUGCAACGCGAAGAACCUUACCUACUCUUGACAUCCAGAGAACUUUCCAGAGAUGGAUUGGUGCCUUCGGGAACUCUGAGACAGGUGCUGCAUGGCUGUCGUCAGCUCGUGUUGUGAAAUGUUGGGUUAAGUCCCGCAACGAGCGCAACCCUUAUCCUUGUUUGCCAGCGAGUAAUGUCGGGAACUCCAGGGAGACUGCCGGUGAUAAACCGGAGGAAGGUGGGGACGACGUCAAGUCAUCAUGGCCCUUACGAGUAGGGCUACACACGUGCUACAAUGGCGCAUACAGAGGGCGGCCAACUUGCGAAAGUGAGCGAAUCCCAAAAAGUGCGUCGUAGUCCGGAUUGGAGUCUGCAACUCGACUCCAUGAAGUCGGAAUCGCUAGUAAUCGUGGAUCAGAAUGCCACGGUGAAUACGUUCCCGGGCCUUGUACACACCGCCCGUCACACCAUGGGAGUGGGCUGCAAAAGAAGUAGGUAGUUUAACCUUCGGGGGGACGC